CAAGAGGAGCGGCAGACGGGUGAGUAACGCGUGGGAAUCUACCCAUCUCUACGGAACAACUCCGGGAAACUGGAGCUAAUACCGUAUACGUCCUUCGGGAGAAAGAUUUAUCGGAGAUGGAUGAGCCCGCGUUGGAUUAGCUAGUUGGUGGGGUAAUGGCCUACCAAGGCGACGAUCCAUAGCUGGUCUGAGAGGAUGAUCAGCCACAUUGGGACUGAGACACGGCCCAAACUCCUACGGGAGGCAGCAGUGGGGAAUAUUGGACAAUGGGCGAAAGCCUGAUCCAGCCAUGCCGCGUGAGUGAUGAAGGCCCUAGGGUUGUAAAGCUCUUUCAACGGUGAAGAUAA
rnacentral:rRNA from 1 species